AGAAAAUGUAUGCACAAAUAUAUUCCUAUCAACGUGAGAAAGAAAUGUUCAUAACCACGAUAGCCCUUGUUUUCAAACUGGUCAUUUGAUCAUCAUUCAUAUUUAUGACUUCUUUCUUCUAUUCCCAUAGGCCUUCUUUGCUGUUGGCACGGAUUAAGAUGCAUGAAGUCACUAUAGCAAGAACGGAAGCCAUGGAGCUUUCUCCUGGAUCGCCUGCUGUAGGGGAAUGCAGCUGCCUUAUUGUCAAGAUUCUCAGGUUGCUCACUUGGGGAGAAACUGAGGUCUCUGACUAAUAGUCGGAAACUGAGAACUACCAAAAAUCAUGUGAGAAAGUGUGGAAACAGAUCCUGCCCCCGGUCCAGCCCUCAGGGGAUUGUGGUCCCAACAGCUCGACUGUCAUCACAUGAAAGUCCCUGGGAGACUCAGCUACGAUGUUACCAGAUGCCUGUCCCUCCCCCACCUCCCAGAAAAGCUGGGAAAAUAAAUGUGCUUUUCAGCUGCAAGGAGUAAUUUGUUAAAUGGUCACAUAUAGCUAAAACAGGUAUCAGCACCUUGAAGUAGGAUGCUGCUAUAACAAAAAACUAAAAUGUGUAAAAUGUGAAGAAGGCUUUUUUUUUUUAAAUAAACAAAUUUCUUGGCCAUUCUAUUUAAAAAGUAGCCUGCCAAUUUCUGUACACAAAUACGCUAGGAUUUUGGUUGAGAUGCCAUUGAAUCUAUAGAACAACAUGGGGACCAUUGCCACUUCACAGUAUUGCUUCUUCCAAUCCACAAACAUGGG
rnacentral:lncRNA from 1 species